rnacentral:rRNA from 1 species
AAGGAUGGGUCUGCGGCCUAUCAGGUAGUAGUGGGUGUAGCGUACCUACUAGCCUACGACGGGUACGGGUUGUGAGAGCAAGAGCCCGGAGAUGGAUUCUGAGACACGAAUCCAGGCCCUACGGGGUGCAGCAGGCGCGAAAACUUUACAAUGCUGGCAACAGCGAUAAGGGAACCUCGAGUGCCAGGUUACAAAUCUGGCUGUCGAGAUGCCUAAAAAGCAUUUCAUAGCAAGGGCCGGGCAAGACCGGUGCCAGCCGCCGCGGUAACACCGGCGGCUCGAGUGGUAACCGUUAUUAUUGGGUCUAAAGGGUCUGUAGCCGGCCGGAUAAGUCUCUUGAGAAAUCUGGCAGCUUAACUGUCAGGCUUUCAGGAGAUACUGUCUGGCUCGAGGCCGGGAGAGGUGAGAGGUACUUCAGGGGUAGGGGUGAAAUCUUGUAAUCCUUGAAGGACCACCAGUGGCGAAGGCGUCUCACCAGAACGGACCUGACGGCAAGGGACGAAAGCUAGGGGCACGAACCGGAUUAGAUACCCGGGUAGUCCUAGCCGUAAACGAUACUCGCUAGGUGUCGGCCACGGUGCGACCGUU